GCCUCUCUCCAUCCUCCAGGCAGCUGUAGAGGCUGCCACAAAAAUAAGAUUAACUCCCUCCUCUAACCAUUUUUAAGUUCCUUCGCUGGUUUGCAAACGUCUUCUGUACUAAACUUUCCCUUGAAUGCCUCCCUAUACCUCCACCUCCACCUUUCUUCUCUUGUAUUACACCCCCCCCCCCCCACUCAUUCUCAUGGGUGUAAUUCUGGGCAGCAUAUUUCUCUAUUCCUUUGUUCUCUUCUGUCUUGCUCUUCCUUUCCUCCUUGUAGGUGGGGACAAUCUUUGUUGAUUCAACAAGUUGUUCCUUAUCUCUAUUAAUGUCUGCAUGGAGAGGAGAAGCCAAACCCAACUUAAAGUUAUCAGAUUUGGCCCAUGAAGACAAGCUAUCCUUAUUACAACACUUAGUCUGGAGCAAUGAAGCAUAUGCAUUCCCUAGUUAUGAAGAUUAGGGAAAAAAGUCACUUUCAGUGGAAGACCGAAACACUGCAAGUUUAACUGGAAUAAAAUACCAGAAACCAGUGGAAUAAAUAUCAGCCCCACUGCAGGUCAUCUCUGAAGGCUCUGAAAGGAUCCAUUACUUUACAGGUUGCUGCUCCAGUGAAAGAAAAUCUGGUGCUUUUUUUCCCACGAAGUUGUGUGUGUGUGAGGGGGGGAGGGGACUCAUAAAAAUUAGACCACUUUGUGCACUUUCUCAUCUUUUGACCAGCUACUAUUUGUGAGAUGAAUUUCAGUGAACCAGAUGGAUUUGCCGAUAGAUGUAACAAUCCCUUAUUACCUCAGCCCCUAGGGAAGAGGCAGGUGACAGAAUGAUUUCGGCAAUAAAAUGAA